UCCGGUUGAUCCUGGCGGAGGUUACUGCUAUCGAGGUUCGACUAAGCCAUGCGAGUCGAAUGUAGCAAUACAUGGCGUACUGCUCAGUAACACGUGGACAACCUACCCUUAGGUCGGGGAUAAACCCGGGAAACUGGGUAUAAUACCCGAUAGUCCUCGGAUGCUGGAAUGCACCGAGGUCUAAAGCUCCGGCGCCUAAGGAUGGGUCUGCGGCCUAUCAGGUAGUAGUGGGUGUAGCGUACCUACUAGCCUACGACGGGUACGGGUUGUGAGAGCAAGAGCCCGGAGAUGGAUUCUGAGACACGAAUCCAGGCCCUACGGGGUGCAGCAGGCGCGAAGACUUUACAAUGCUGGAAACAGCGAUAAGGGAACCUCGAGUGCCAGGUUACAAAUCUGGCUGUCGUGAUGCCUAAAAAGCAUUGCAUAGCAAGGGCCGGGCAAGACCGGUGCCAGCCGCCGCGGUAACACCGGCGGCUCGAGUGGUAACCGCUAUUAUUGGGUCUAAAGGGUCUGUAGCCGGCCGGAUAAGUCUUUUGGGAAAUCUGGCAGCUUAAUUGUCAGGCUUUCAGAGGAUACUGUCUGGCUCGAGGCCGGGAGAGGUGAGAGGUACUUCAGGGGUAGGGGUGAAAUCUUGUAAUCCUUGAAGGACCACCAGUGGCGAAGACGUCUCACCAGAACGGACCUGACGGCAAGGGAC
rnacentral:rRNA from 1 species